AGGCAGGUGGUGCACCAAACAGGGCAUCAAGGUGAAGAGUUGGAAGAAGCGAUACUUUGUGUUGAACAAGCAAGCCGUCUGCUACUACAAAGCUCCCGAGGAUAAGAUUCAGUUGAAGACGAUUAACUUGGAAGACAUUGCAGACGUGCGAGAGUCAAUUGGUAUUCAUCCGACAAAGCAACAUCUGUUUGAGAUUGUCACACCAGACAGAGUGUUCUACAUACAGUGCAUCACAUGUGUUGACAUGCAUGUUUGGAUAGAAGCCAUCUCUAAUCAAAUUAAGGCCCACAAGCUUGAGAGAAAGCCGACGUCAUGGGAUAGGAAGUUCAACAACACACAGAGCUGCGGCAGCAGCAGCAGUGGCAGUAGCAACACCGAGAGCCCCAUCAGCCCCAUGUUCCCGUUCCCGCGCGACUCAUCGCCGAGCCGCGACAGCCGCACGGCGUACUUCAACUACCAGCAGCUUGCGAACCGAUCGUUCCGCAUGCCGGGCACGGCGAGUGGCGCACACGCCAACAUCUCCCCGCGCGCGCUCCGCAAGUCGCAGUCGAUGGGUAGCCGAGGGAGGGCGCCCGCGCGCG